AACACUGUUAACCUGCGGUACCUGCGGAAGGAUCAUUGCUGGAACGCGCUUCGGCGCACCCAGAAACCCUUUGUGAACUUAUACCUAUUUGUUGCCUCGGCGUAGGCCGGCCUCUUCACUGAGGCCCCCUGGAAACAGGGAGCAGCCCGCCGGCGGCCAACUAAACUCUUGUUUCUGUAGUGAAUCUCUGAGUAAAAACAUAAAUGAAUCAAAACUUUUAACAAUGGAUCUCAGAUCGGA
rnacentral:misc_RNA from 1 species